UACGGAGGGGGCUAGCGUUGUUCGGAAUUACUGGGCGUAAAGGGCGCGUAGGCGGCGCGAUAAGUUGGGCGUGAAAGGCCCGGGCUCAACCCGGGGACUGCGCUUGAUAUUGUCGCGCUGUGAGUCCGGGAGAGGAUGGCGGAAUUCCCAGUGUAGAGGUGAAAUUCGUAGAUAUUGGGAAGAACACCGGUGGCGAAGGCGGCCAUCUGGACCGGCACUGACGCUGAGGCGCGAAAGCGUGGGGAGCAAACAGG
rnacentral:rRNA from 1 species